rnacentral:hammerhead_ribozyme from 1 species
ACCCAGUAGACAAGUCCCAAAUAGGACGAAAUGAGCAUCCUAGAU